rnacentral:rRNA from 1 species
UACGGAGGGUGCAAGCGUUAAUCGGAAUUACUGGGCGUAAAGCGCACGCAGGUGGCUGAGAUAGUCGAUUGUGAAAGCCCUGGGCUUAACCUGGGAAUUGCAUUCGAUACUACUCGGCUAGAGUAUGAGAGAGGGCAGUGGAAUUCCCGGUGUAGCGGUGAAAUGCGUAGAUAUCAGAAGGAACAUCAGUGGCGAAGGCGGCUUUCUGGACCAAUACUGACGAUCAGGUGCGAAAGCGUGGGGAGCAAACAGG